CAGGACCAGGUUUAAACUUUGUUUUAAAUAUUUUUAUACUUAGGUCUCUUUUUCCUGCCUCUCCCCAAAGAAGAGCCACUGGCCUUAGUUGUUUGAGCUUACUGCUUAUAUUAUAGAGUGUAAAUAGAUAACUAGAGACUAAACUUUUAUUAACUAGCAUGUUUGGUAUAUUUAAAGCAGUGACUGAGUGUGUUUGAGUGAGCGGCUGGGGGCAGUGUCUUUUGUUUAAACACACUGCCUCGCGUCUUUGCAGCUGAUUCAGAGAGUUUGAAUUGUGCGAUGGGAAACUCACUUCAGCUCUAGGCUGCAGUAAUGUGUUGGUAGUUACACUUGAGGUGUUUUUUUUUUUUUUUUUUAAUUAACUCUAUAGUCUCAAACUAUUUUUGCAAAUAUAUCAUUUUUCCUAGUUGGUUCUUGACGUGCAGUGGACUGGCUCUGUGAAUGAUUGGCAGGGUCUUAGUUUUGCAAGAGUAUUUCCUUCUAAGAAUUAUUGUGAUCUGCAGAAACAGCCGCUCGAUUCAAAAAUCAUGUAGAAAAGGAGUAGGAGAAACAAAACGUUUCAUUUGUGGGCCUUAACCAUUUGAAAUGUUUGGACUUUAACAUAAAGCCAUGGAGUUUAUAAAGCCAAGUAACCAUUUGACAUGGAUAAUAAUAUCCACUCUAGAGAGAGUAUAUAUGCAUAUUGAUUUUUAAUGCCGUUAAGAUACUUUUGUAAAACUGUAGGAACAAGAGUAAUUAGACCAAAUGGAAGCUUAGGGGACAGUAAACUGGUUGCUUUCCAUUUAGAGUAACCAUGCAUGUGGUUAGUCCUCUACUCCUGAGAUUCAGAACCAGAUGACUGUCCCCUUAGGUGUAUAAGGAGAAAAGUUGACACGUCUGGGACCUCUGACAUGUGUACACAUGCUUGCACACAUGCACACACAGUGAAUGUUUUCAGUUAUACAAACAUAAGACCUUAAGAUGAAAAGAGCCAGAAUAUUCUAAAGAGGUGAUGAACAAAGGGGAUGGAAACUGCAUCACAGAUGUUUUCCAAGGGCCAGGGUGGAAUUUGAGCUCUAGUGUCUGACUUUGAGAUGUGUUGUAUUUUUAACACAUACAUGAGGGGAUCCAUAUCACAUUCUUUCUUGUGGACCACCAAAUUGAAAGCUUUCUUGUAACUCACAAGCAGCAGCUCUCCAGCAGCUCUCCAUAGCCUGGGUGAAGUCCCAGAAGCUGGUGUGCAUCAUUUUCCAAGGUGGUAGAGCUGCUUGCUCUGCAGAUCAUUCCUUUGAGAGAGGAGUACAAGUGAAGAAACAAGGAGGCGCUCCCUAUAGGAGCACUGAUGUGCCUCGUCCACACUCCCCUCUGGGCUUGACUGAACAUGCUGAGAGAGCUCCAACUGAACAUGCUGAGCAGUUGAGCACUUUUCCAUCAGCAACAACAGUGAGGAUGGAAAUGGAAAGGAACUGAACUAAAAUGCAUUUCCCUUUGCAGGGCAGAGAGCUAAGCUCUUAGGAACAGUGUUGUAGAAAUAAGCACCCUAACUUCAAUUCCUGAAAAUGUUGGUUAAUGGAGAGAAUUUUGGAGUUUCACUUAAUUAUUUUCCCAUCAGUCGACCUAAAUAAGUCUUCAGACUCUUCAGACUCCUAGAAGAGUCCCAGCCCAGCUCUGCAGGUCUGAAGCUCACUGCUCUGAGCUCUGAAUACCAGAGCCCUGCAGAGGGUGGUGAUAACGCAUCAUCUCUGCAAAGAGGAGCCUCUGCCCCGGCCGCCACUUCACUCAGGCUUCUACUGAGCAGCAAGGACAGCCUGGGUUCCAAAUGCCGCUUCCCCUGCUUUAGGGAUCCGGGUGUCCUGAUAACGUGACCGUGCCGAGGCAAGGUAUCAACUCCAAGAGUGAAUGAGUCACUGAGCGUGGCACAUGAAUAAACGUCAUGACAAAGAUUCUCUGAGUGAGGCUAAUGCCACGUAUUUUACCUUUGCAAAAAAUCAACUGGCACACUGAGUUCUAACCACGGAUGGAUGAUAUCUUUGCCUCCACACCCAGAUUCCUAGAAAUGGCUAACGUUUCCUUUCUGGGGGAAGGGUGGAGGAACACUCAAGUGCUAGCUUAGCAGCUUUGCUCAGUCCAGGUCAGAGCUGUAAGGUAAAGGCCUAAGCACCUCCCUGCAGUCUCUUCUAUCUCAAGUUUUAGGAACCCCUUUCUAGAACAGAAAUGUACACUAGCGGAGAAUUUACAUUGUCAGCCUCGAUUACCAUAGGACAGGCAGAAAGGUGGUAAUUUUUCUUUUAAUAUAAAAGAAGCUUUUAACUUUUCCAGCCUAUUAUAAUAACUGGGUUAUAUUCACUGUGACUCAAGCUAAUUGGCAUUGUGGAACAUUUCUUUACCUUCAAAGUUUUCUCCACCAAUCAUUUCAGUUCUAUUGCAGUCCUGGUGCCAUAUGUCCCCUGCAAAUUGUGAAAGUAAUUAGUGACAAAAUAGCAACCUGCUCCUUUUCGAUGGCCAAACUGUCAGCAUUAGCAGAUUUGGGUAAGCUCGUGGUACUAUAACACGUACUGGAAACCUGUUCCUCAUCACCACCUACCAGAUUCCGGAAAUGCCAUCUUCUAGAAGACGGUGGCAUUUAUGGUGGUCUUCUUUUGAAUGGAACAGUAAUUUGUGUGGAUAUUGUUAAAGUGUUUAAAGAAUAUUUUGACAAUUAAGUUUACAUUUUACAAUUGCUUUAUUUUUUAUUAAAAUAGUUGUAUAUAAAUAUUACCCUAUUUCACUGUUGUUCAAGUAAACCUAAACCUUGUAGACAAGUGAGUCACCUGAUAUGUAUAGAAGCUGUGACAUAUAGAGUACAUUUAUUGUGUAAAUGUUUAUGAAUAUAAUUGUUCCUGUGUUUUUAUAAGUUGGGGAUAUUUUGUUGUUUUACAACAACAAAAUUUAUUGCAUUUAAAUGGUUUUUAUGUAAUAGAAAUCAUGCAAAAUAGUGAAGGAUUUAAAAUAUGUAUAUGAUAUAUGUAAAUGUACAAACUUUAGAAGGAAAUAAAUCCAACAAAUUUCAA
ensembl:lncRNA